rnacentral:rRNA from 1 species
UGGCGGACGGGUGAGUAAUGUCUGGGAAACUGCCCGAUGGAGGGGGAUAACUACUGGAAACGGUAGUUAAUACCGCAUAACGUCGCAAGACCAAAGAGGGGACCUUCGGGCCUCUUGCCAUCGGAUGUGCCCAGAUGGGAUUAGCUAGUAGGUGGGGUAACGGCUCACCUAGGCGACGAUCCCUAGCUGGUCUGAGAGGAUGACCAGCCACACUGGAACUGAGACACGGUCCAG